GCAUGCGCACGCGUGCCUUCAAUCCGGCGAUGAUCCAGGAGGACGGGCGACGGUGAGGUGACGGGAGUCGUUGGAUUGUCCGAGAAUAAGAGCCACUUGAAAGAGGUACAAGAACGUGAUUGCAAUUCUUGGAAUCAUUUCCCAGUAAAAAGUGAAUUACAAAGAUUUUGUUUAAAGUCUACUACACAAGAUUAAGCCAUUUGGACCAAUCUACACUGGCAUUUACACUCCAAAUGAGUGGACUACAAUGUCUGCAUGCCUAUUUGAGGGUGCUGACUGACCACAUCGUAAUCAUGGGUGAAACAGAAUAACAAAGAAUCUCGAUCGCUUCAUGUUCUGUUUGAAUUUUUCCUGAUGACCAGAUGACGGAUGUUCCAGUGCUCAACGCUCCAAACAAUACACCAUGAAAAGAUUGCACAACUUAAUUUUAAGAAAAACUUUCAGACACACUAGCAAUCAAGCAGAAGUAUAAAAGAAAACCUACUUUCAACACAUCAGCAAACAGAAAAGUGUCAUGCCCAAUCAAACAGCUAGCCCCCCCUCUGACAGUAACCAUAGUGCAUCAAUCUUAGGGUUCAUGCUGAUACCUGUUAUAGUUAUAGCAGUCAUUGGCAUUGCAGUUGUAGUGGUAAAGUAUGUUCGAAAGAGACGCAGGUUAGAAAAACUACGCAACAAACUUGUGCCGAUUUACUCAUAUGACCCCAGUGAGGAUCGUAAUGAUGUGGAAGAAGAAUCUUUAGAUCGCAGUGGAGAAGGGAAAGAUAAUCAUGAAUCUUCAGAUGAGAAAGCAAGCAGACUGAAUGAUAGCCAUGUCUCCACUUCAGAUACUGGCAAUGUGCUUUGAACCAAAUAUUAGCAACCAAGAUGCAGGGAUGGACUGCAGAUUAAAAUUAAGCUUUAACAUGAUGCACAUCUUGCUGCAGUAAUUGAAUUGAUGCAAAGCUACAUAGCAAUGAAUCUUAGGAGUGACAAAGAAAGGUGAAUAAUGUGCACAAAAUGAAAAACAAUGUUUGAACAUUUGAGUAUUUGAACUUUACUGAUGCUGUUGCUACAUAACAGAUCACCUGGUAGAAUCAUCUUGAAACUCUUGGUAGAACUAAACAGCUACAAGAAUAACUAUUUUUACAGUGGUUUUUGAAUUAAAAUGCCAGAUUUUGGCACUGUAUUUGUUGCAAAGCUGGAUCUUUCAACUAUAUAUUUGUGUUUUGAAAUUAUGUACAAGUAAACCGAAGAAAUGGAGAUUAAUUGUAUUAGAUUUUGCUUUUCUUGUGUAUAUUUGUGUUUGAAAAUGUGUGUGUAUUUUGUUUACUUCAGACAAAGUUCGUGGCAACAUUUGGUGAAAUCUUCUCUGGAUCAAAGUGGAGUGUUUAGCGAUCUAUCCUAAAGACAUGUGGGAACAAUUCCUUGAAUGAAUGUUCCAUUGAUUGGUUUAUAUCUGAAGGUGCUGAAACUGGUGAAAUCUGGUGCUCAGGCCAGGAAUUUAUUUGUAAAUAUGAUUCUAAAUAUACACAUCUCAGUUUCAAAGAUGACAAAAUAUAUAGCAGGGAACAAGAGUGCAAAUAGGAAAUGAGUAGUUUUGUCAGAUAGCUUAUUGUAGCUUCUGGGCCACAAGUGACAUAAGGUCAUAGUUUGGAUAUGCCAUUUAUCACUGAUAUCUAAAUUUACUUCCAUAUGUCCCUUAAUAAGAUGUUCACAUUUCAAUUCCCUGUUAGACGUGACAGUUAUGUCAUUCUGUGCAAUCUCUCUAAUGAGAUGUGCAAUACCAUUAAAUUCGUGCCGUUCCACUUUUGAAUCAGUGAACUUUUGAUCAUUUGUUCACAAUCUAACUAAACGUGCCUUUGUGCAGAAGAGAGAUUUUGCAUGCAUCAGUAUGGUCAAACGUGCAUGGAAUAGAACAUGUUCUAAAAGCGGCAUAAAUACAAUAAAGACUGAAAUGAAGCAUGUAAUUGAAUCAUAUGAGAUGCUUUAAUAAGACAUAUAGUAAUAUAAACAAAAAAUAUAUUCGAUGUAGGGUGGUGCUUCGGGUAUUCAAUUUGUUAAAAUCCGUAAUUUUGCAGCUUCUGAAUUGUAUCACUUAUUACCACAUUGAGUGUAAUCAAAACCAAUAACAUCUUUUUUUAAUAA